UACGUAGGGUGCGAGCGUUGUCCGGAAUUACUGGGCGUAAAGAGCUCGUAGGUGGUUUGUCGCGUUGUUCGUGAAAACUCACAGCUUAACUGUGGGCGUGCGGGCGAUACGGGCAGGCUGGAGUUCGGUAGGGGAGACUGGAAUUCCUGGUGUAGCGGUGAAAUGCGCAGAUAUCAGGAGGAACACCGGUGGCGAAGGCGGUUCUCUGGGCAUUACCUGACGCUGGAGGAGCGAAAGCUAGGGGAGCAAACGGGA
rnacentral:rRNA from 1 species